rnacentral:lncRNA from 1 species
AAAGACAAAUUUCCGCCGAUUCAGCUGGAAGCGGGUCAAAUUUGAACUAUAGCUGCCUUGUAGUUUGCUCUUUAUUUUUUCCAAAAAUCAUUUCUAGGUACAUAAGUAUCUAUUUAAUCGGAGAAACACCAAAAACAUUUCAAGAUUCAACCACUAGCUACGAACGGUCAUUCCCGCCGUUUUGACCGCAUUUUGAAACGGGCAUAAAAAAUUCAAAAAAAUCAAAAAAUUAGGAAACCUUCGCAUUGUGUCAUUAUAUGUGGCCAAGUUCCCAGUAAAAAUAACAAACUUGUAAUACGGCAAUUAUUUUAAAAAAGUGUUCUCAGAAACGAGCUAUCACGUAUGGAGAUCAAUGGCUUUCAAGCCAAAUGACCAAUUUUAUGGCCACAUUCAUGGCAUAGUUUGUUCAAAUGAUCUUAUAUUGUGCACAAGGGUGCAUAUUGGAAUGGCAAACAAUGUUGCCUAAGGAAGUUUUCAUUUUCUUUGGAUGAAAAAACCAUUUUCCAUUUUUCGAGUGCCCAAAAGGAGGUUUUUUUGUGAAGGACCUCCCAAAUAUUUGUUGCAAAAUUGGACCAAAUCAUUUUUCUAAAAUACUAGGACAUAUUUAAUGCACAAUUGACCAAAUGUUUGGGUGUAAAAAGUUUUGAUCCACCCCUCGUGAAAAAGACAAAUUUCCGCUGAUUUAGUUGGAAGCGGGUCAAAUUUGAACUAUAGCUGCCUUGUAGUUUGCUCUUUAUUUUUUCCAAAAAUCAUUUCUAGGUACUUAAGUAUCUAUUUAAUCAGAGAAACACCAAAAAAAUUCCAAGAUUCAACCACUAGCUAGGAACGGUCAUUCCCGCCGUUUUGACCGCAUUUUGAAACGGGCAUAAAAAGUUCAAAAAAAAAUCAAAAAAUU